UAUUUCUUGGUGUAGGGAUGCACGAAAACUUUUGAUGUUUUAAGGGCAGUUUAAUUCUGCGAGGAAUAA
rnacentral:tRNA from 1 species